CCACCUUGGAGGGGAGGAGACUUUGGAUUUCUCAGAGACAGUUGGACCCUCGCUGGGUGGGCCUGUGCCCGAGGCGCCUUGAGGACAACACAGAGAGCAACGUCCAGGCCUUCAAAUUUUGCCUGUGAUGCUAAUAAUUUUGACCUGAUUGACCAAAAUGAAAAAAGGCUUUGGAAGGCAAGAAUGUACUUGGCAGCAUGUGCAUGGCGUAGGAUCUAAAAACUGUGUCAAUACACGCGGUGAAGAAAACUUUGGAGUCAUUACAGCCACGUGGUAGCCUGGAAAUCAUGCAUUUUCAGCACCAUCCCGGGGAGGGAGGAGGACAAUGCGGCACAGAGCAGCCUGCCCAUGUUGAAGGUGGAAUCCCAGCUCACAGAGGAAAAUUCCCAGGAGUUAGUUGCCUCGUUCAAAGAUCUGAACAUCUUCUGGCGCUUGACACAUUUUGCUGGAUUGCUCUUCAGAAGGACCGCACCUCACGCGUUGCUACCAGCAAUGGGUGCCGGGUGUUUCCCAGCCUUGCACCAGUGGAUGGUCUCUUGGCUCGUGUUUUACCCCUGCUGAUUUAAAAGGUGUACCGUGGUCCCUUAGAGUUUUUAAGAUGUUUAUUUUGGGUAUAAGGC
rnacentral:lncRNA from 1 species